rnacentral:rRNA from 1 species
AUUGAACGCUGGCGGCAUGCCUUACACAUGCAAGUCGAACGGCAGCAUGGAGAGCUUGCUCUCUGAUGGCGAGUGGCGAACGGGUGAGUAAUGCAUCGGAACGUACCGUGUAAUGGGGGAUAACGUAGCGAAAGUUACGCUAAUACCGCAUACGACCUGAGGGUGAAAGCAGGGGAUCGCAAGACCUUGCGUUAUACGAGCGGCCGAUGUCAGAUUAGCUAGUUGGUGAGGUAAAGGCUCACCAAGGCGACGAUCUGUAGCGGGUCUGAGAGGAUGAUCCGCCACACUGGGACUGAGACACGGCCCAGACUCCUACGGGAGGCAGCAGUGGGGAAUUUUGGACAAUGGGGGCAACCCUGAUCCAGCCAUGCCGCGUGAGUGAAGAAGGCCUUCGGGUUGUAAAGCUCUUUCGGCCGGGAAGAAAUCGCACAGGCUCAUACUCUGUGUGGAUGACGGUACCGGCAUAAGAAGCACCGGCUAACUACGCGCCAGCAGCCGCCGUAA